rnacentral:rRNA from 1 species
CCUACGGGAGGCAGCAGUGAGGAAUAUUGGUCAAUGGACGAGAGUCUGAACCAGCCAAGUAGCGUGAAGGAUGACUGCCCUAUGGGUUGUAAACUUCUUUUAUCAAGGAAUAAAACGCGGCACGUGUGCCUUUUUGCAUGUACUUUAUGAAUAAGGAUCGGCUAACUCCGUUCCCGCAGCCGCGGUAAUACGGAGGAUCCGAACGUUAUCCGGAUUUAUUGGGUUUAAAGGGAGCGUAGAUGGGUUGUUAAGUCAGUUGUGAAAGUUUGCGGCUCAAACGUAAAAUUGCCAUUGAUACUGGCAGUCUUGAGUACAGGUGAGGUAGGCGGAAUUCGUGGUGUAGCGGUGAAAUGCUUAGAUAUCACGAAGAACCCCGAUUGCGAAGGCAGCUUACUAAACUGUGACUGACAUUGAUGCUCGAAAGUGUGGGUAUCAAACAGGAUUAGAUACCCCUGUAGUC